AAAUAGACAAAUAAUGGGAUCAAACUCCAAAGUGAAGUUCACCCACAAAAGAAGCAAAUAUAAGCAAAAUGGUCCAUAACCUUUUAGAAGUAUUCCCAAACGCCCCUUCUCUUUCAUUCUUUAUCCCUUUUCUAUUCCCCAUCAUCUUCAAUUGAACAUAACAACGCCUUCAAAUUCAUAGCAAUUUUCAAAAUAAAAAAUCUGGGUUGCAAUGAAAAGGUCCUUAAUCUUAUUAUUGUCUUGCAUUUUUUUGUUGAGUUCUAUAUAUAUUGCUAAAGCUGAAGUUAUUACUCUUACAGGCGAUACAUUUAAUGAUAAGAUAAACGAGAAGGACACUGCAUGGUUUGUCAAAUUUUGUGUUCCAUAGUGUAAACACUGCAAGAACCUGCGAACACUUUGGGAUGAUGUAGGGAAAGUGAUGGAAAUUAUUAUCUAGAUAGAGGUGGGACAAGUUGAUUGUGGUACAGAUAAGCCAGUGUGUAACAAAGUUGAUAUACAUUCAUACCCUACAUUCAAACUCUUCUACAAUGGAGAAGAAGUCGCAAAGUACCAAGAUUGAAUAUUUAGUGGUCAUGUUUGCCAGCCAUUGCAGAUGUCGACUGCACUCAUACAAAGAAGAUAAGUGUAACUUUUAGUCUUUUCCUAGAGGCUGAGAUGUCAUCUAUGGAAUUUCUCACUAACAUACAAGAGGGCUGGUAUAGCCGUCCAUGAAGAGGAAAUUGAUUCAAUACAUAUCUAAUCACAGUGUGUUGUUAGCAGAUUGUCAUACAGUCUCAAAUCAGUAGUGGAGGUGCGUCAAGUUUUUAAGGAUGAGCCCUUCAUGAAACCCAGUCUUGAAGACAUGAAGAACACCGUUGUGGUACCCUCAUAGCUUCUGCUUCUAAGGGAAAAGUUAAAGGCUACCCAAUUUGGGGUAAUCCAAAGCAUUCUUAAAUGAGAAUUUUACCUCCCCCUUCUGCAUUCCUGAGCAUUGUGAAUUCAAAAGCUUUAGGUAAUUAACUUGUGUGUGGAAUUCAAAAGAGCUGCAAAUUUGUGCCAAUAUGCUUGAGGGAUUUUGCUAAUUACAAAAUGGUUGAUUAUUGCAGGCUUUACCUCUUUCAAAGCUGUGAACUUAGAAUGUUUUAAGUGAUCAACAUAUGCCAGAUCAUUGGAAAUUUGAGACUUGGAGAUGCCUAUUUCAAGCUUGAAAAGGAGCUGAGAAACUUUGUUAUAUCAUGUAUCACUCCUUUGUCUAUAUUGGUUUACAUGAUUUGCUAUAAUUAGGACACUAGUUUUGCACAAAAUCUCUGAUUUUCAAGACUCUUUUUUUAAUGUGAUAUCUUUGAUACAAGGUUUACUCUUUCUUGAGGUUAACAUAAUUCCCUGGCUUGGCUUCUAUUAUGGCAUUCUCCCUUGUCCUGGGUAACGGAACAAGUAACUGCGCAGAAGCACCAGCUAUGCUCUUUGGAAUGUCAUGGUGUCUGGAUAAUGGUCACAGCAAUAUCAUGGCUGAAGGUGAUUCGAAACUGAUAGUGGACAGCAUCAUUAAUUCUAAAAGCAUCCGCUGAGAAUUUUUAAGGAAGUCCAAAAGCUGAAAGAGCUUCUCCAACAGACCACUUCAACAUUAAGCACUGCUUUAGGGAAAUAAACCAAGUGGCGGACAAACUAGCAUCCCUGGUUCCAGAUGAUAUUUGAACUAUGCAGAUGGCCAUGGACAAAUGGGGCUACCAGCUAUAAAGAUAUCUAGAAGGAAGAAAAAGAAUUGGUCCUUGAUCCACCUUAAUUCCUUGUAUCACUCUCUUUCUAUAGGCUAGAUACUUUAACGUUUAGGAUAUGGAUAUUCAUACAUAUUCUUGUCCCUCUUGCAUUUACCA